AACGCUAGCUACAGGCUUAACACAUGCAAGUCGCGGGGCAGCAUGAAUUUAGCUUGCUAAAUUUGAUGGCGACCGGCGCACGGGUGAGUAACGCGUAUCCAACCUUCCCUUAUCCACGGGAUAGCCCGUCGAAAGGCGGAUUAAUACCGUAUGAGGUCAUUUGAUGGCAUCUGAUUAUGACGAAAGGUUUGGCGGAUAAGGAUGGGGAUGCGUCCGAUUAGCUUGUUGGCGGGGUAACGGCCCACCAAGGCGACGAUCGGUAGGGGUUCUGAGAGGAAGGUCCCCCACAUUGGAACUGAGACACGGUCCAAACUCCUACGGGAGGCAGCAGUGAGGAAUAUUGGUCAAUGGGCGAGAGCCUGAACCAGCCAAGUAGCGUGCAGGACGACGGCCCUAUGGGUUGUAAACUGCUUUUAUGCGGGGAUAAAGUGGGGGAUGUAUCCCUUUUUGCAGGUACCGCAUGAAUAAGGACCGGCUAAUUCCGUGCCAGCAGCCGCGGUAAUACGGAAGGUCCGGGCGUUAUCCGGAUUUAUUGGGUUUAAAGGGAGCGUAGGCUGGAGAUUAAGCGUGUUGUGAAAUGCCGCGGCUCAACCGUGGCACUGCAGCGCGAACUGGUUUCCUUGAGUGCGCUGAAAGUGGGCGGAAUUUGUGGUGUAGCGGUGAAAUGCUUAGAUAUCACGAAGAACUCCGAUUG
rnacentral:rRNA from 1 species